rnacentral:snoRNA from 1 species
AUUCCAUGGUGAGGACAGUCUGAUAUGUAUCCUUGAAAACGCUCCCAUGCUUCUAAAAUGGCUUCUGUCUUCUGCUUUGGAAACUAACAAUAUUUCCUCUUAAGGU